CAAAGAGAAUUCACCGUACUUUCAACAUGCUGGGGACCAUCUCUACUAUUAUUGUUGCUCUAGCAUGUGUGGAUGCUGCAAAAGUGUUGACCCAGACACCACCUGUCCACACAGUUUCUCCAGGACAGGAGGUUCUGCUCAAAUGCAACAUUCAGAGACCUGAAAGCUAUUAUGUCAGCUGGUACAAACAGGUCCCUGGUUCUACUCCUCAGUAUAUUCUGAGAUUUUAUCAUGAGCACAGUUCACCCUACUUUGGAACAGGAUUCUCCUCAGACCGAUUUAACUCUAAAGCCUCAUCAAACAUUGAUUAUCAGUUUAUCAUUAAGCGAGCAGAAGCAGGAGACUCUGCUGUGUAUUACUGUGGAACAUGGGACAGCUCUGCUAAGGAGAGCGUAUCACAGUGAUUUACACUGUGACAAAAACCUCUGUACAAAGUACUUCUGCUUUUAGAGUCUUUGACGUGUCAUUUAGACUGUUUGUCAGCAGCUGCCAAUAAAAACACAAAUCAUCAGACACGUCCAUCCUCUACAAGUUGUUCAGAUUAUAUGACAUUAUUGUAUCUGUACACAUUUUAAUUAUAUUCAGGG